rnacentral:rRNA from 1 species
GACGAACGCUGGCGGCGUGCCUAAUACAUGCAAGUAGAACGCUGAAGAGAGGAGCUUGCUCUUCUUGGAUGAGUUGCGAACGGGUGAGUAACGCGUAGGUAACCUGCCUGGUAGCGGGGGAUAACUAUUGGAAACGACAGCUAAUACCGCAUAAAAUUGAUUAUUGCAUGAUAGUCAAUUGAAAGGUGCAACUGCACCACUACCAGAUGGACCUGCGUUGUAUUAGCUAGUUGGCGGGGUAACGGCUCACCAAGGCGACGAUACAUAGCCGACCUGAGAGGGUGAUCGGCCACACUGGGACUGAGACACGGCCCAGACUCCUACGGGAGGCAGCAGUAGGGAAUCUUCGGCAAUGGACGGAAGUCUGACCGAGCAACGCCGCGUGAGUGAAGAGGGUUUUCGGAUCGUAAAGCUCUGUUGUAAGAGAAGAACGAGUGUGAGAGUGGAAAGUUCACACUGUGACGGUAUCUUACCAGAAAGGGACGGCUAACUACGUGCCAGCAGCCGCGGUAAUACGUAGGUCCCGAGCGUUGUCCGGAUUUAUUGGGCGUAAAGCGAACGCAGGCGGUUAGAUAAGUCUGAAGUUAAAGGCUGUGGCUUAACCAUAGUACGCUUUGGAAACUGUUUAACUUGAGUGCAAGAGGGGAGAGUGGAAAUUCCAUGUGUAGCGGUGAAAUGCGUAGAUAUAUGGAGGAACACCGGUGGCGAAAGCGGCUCUCUGGCUUGUAACUGACGCUGAGGCUCGAAAGCGUGGGGAGCAAACAG